UAAAUUAUAAGUAAUUAUUUUUUUGUAAGAAAAAAGCAAAUCAUACAAAAAUUGUAUAUACAAAAUACACUAAAAUAUGGAUUACUGUUAUCCUGAAGAUUGUAGCGAAUUCGCUGUAACUCCGAUGUUAACUGCUCCUUGUUAUCAAAUGAAAUCUGAAGAACUACCGCUAUGUUAUGCUUGUAUGCCAGAAUGCCCUAAAGGUCGGUUCGUAUACUGUUCCGAGAAAAGACUUCCGAAAACUCCGCCAAGAACUCCGAAUCGUUAUUCAAAAAAGCAAAAAGAUUGCGAUGAUCUUAAUAGUCGAUCGUAUCAUGAUCACGAUAGUUCUUAUCGACGUAGAAAUUUGUCGCCGUGUGCUCCACAAAAUUAUUGUCCCACCUGUUGUCAAUCAACGUGCAAACCUAUCAAAACUAAAUACGUUAUACCGUGUUAUCGUUAUGAGGAUGGUCGAAUUGUACGCAAGCUACCCGUGAGUGCAUUCAAGCGUAAUGGUAUGCAGGACCAGGAGCACUCGAAGUUACUGGGCACUACAAAUUUCCUCGUCAGACAUCCCCAUGAUGUGUCGAUCGAAUGUGAUGUCUGCACUAAUCCUGUCAAAGUGGGAGAUCCGGCUAUAGUACCUUUAUGUGAUGCCAAUCACGUUCUUGGUUGUACAACGCUUAGGAAGAAACCCAUAGAAGUGUCACUUGAAGAUUUAUUUGAUGAAUAGAAUUUUUUCUUAGGAUUCUUUGGAUUUUACACGGGAAAAAUGAAUUAACACCAAACUUGUGACAUUUGAAAUAUCGUUGACAUUAAAUAAAGGCUAAGGAAUAAACGGGAGUUGCUCACCGUAAUCAACCUACUGUGCUGAUGCAACGAGCUUGCGAGGUGGCUAUAGGAACUAGAGCAAAAAGAAAACCAUUCGUCGAAUCUUUGU
rnacentral:misc_RNA from 1 species